UGGGGUAUAACAACGUGGCAGCUCUCAGUCUUAGCUGGAAAGCUAUGAUAAGGUAGGAGUCUAUGUGCACAAGGAGGCAGAUAUGCUGUGUUUAAAAGUUGAGAUGAAGAUCAAAACUACAGCUUUUCAUGCUUUCUUGCUGCUCGCCAACCUGCAGUUACGGCCACAGUGGGACAAAAACUAUUUGAGCUGUGAAGAGGUUGAGAAAGCAGAUGAGGAGGAAACCAUUUAUCACAUUAAAUGCACCACAGUCAAAGGAAGCAAAAAUCGGGAUUUUUCGUGGUUCUGUUGUCUAAAAGGCAACCCUGCAAAGAUGGAGACCCGUAUGUUGUAGCACUCCGGUCUGUCACCAUGGCAACAGUUCCACCAGAUGAGAACUCUAUUCGGAGCGAAGUUAAAUGUGCAGGAUUCCUCGUUCACGAAAUAGGCUAUUCAGCCUGCAAGGUGUCGUACUACAACCAGGUGACUUCUGGAGUGCUGUCCUAUGUGGAGGGAAACUUAGCCGGCUGGUCCAAAUCUAUGGAAGAUACAGCAAUGUCCUGCAUUUAAUUUCUGGAGCAAGAUUUGUUGACCACACAGUUCUGAUAUGCACACAUUAGGACAACUCUAGGACAGUUAUUUAAAUAAAAAAAAAAGGUUAUGAUAACAACUGCCAUGAUUAAGUGAUCAUAAAAAGUGUCAGUUAUAGCAUUGCAUGUUUUUCUGAUGGCCUGUUUACACAAAGAAUGAUAACUAUAAAGCCAACUAUGAUGAUAUCUAUAUUAGAUGUUAUAUUAUAGUUGUAGUGUUAGAAUUAGAACAAUUAUUUAAAUUUUACAGUUUAUAAGUUUUGUCUUUGGUGUCAACGGGUCUGAAGGCUGCCAAUAAAACCAUAAAUAUCUAUGGCACAAUAU